rnacentral:rRNA from 1 species
UACGUAGGGAGCAAGCGUUGUCCGGAUUUAUUGGGCGUAAAGAGCUCGUAGGCGGCUUGUCGCGUCGACUGUGAAAACCCGUGGCUCAACCAUGUGGUCUGCAGUCGAUACGGGCAGGCUAGAAUUCGGUAGGGGAGACUGGAAUUCCAGGUGUAGCGGUGAAAUGCGUAGAUAUCUGGAGGAACACCGGUGGCGAAGGCGGCAUCCUGGACCGAGAUUGACGCUGAUGCGCGAAAGCCAGGGGAGCAAACGGG